UACGUAGGGGGCUAGCGUUGUCCGGAAUCAUUGGGCGUAAAGCGCGCGUAGGCGGCCCUGUUAGUCCGCUGUAAAAGUCAAAGGCUCAACCUUUGAAUGCCGGUGGAUACUGCAGGGCUAGAGUCCGGAAGAGGCGAGUGGAAUUCCUGGUGUAGCGGUGGAAUGCGCAGAUAUCAGGAGGAACACCAACGGCGAAGGCAGCUCGCUGGGACGGUACUGGACGCUGGAGGCGCGAAAGCGUGGGGAGCGAACAGGA
rnacentral:rRNA from 1 species